rnacentral:rRNA from 1 species
UAGGACGGUCAUAGCGGCGUGGUACUACCCGGUCCCAUUUCGAACCCGGAAGUCAAGCGCGCCCACGUUCCGCCUUGUACUGCGUUUCUGCGCGGGAAGGGCGGAUCGCUGUCCUAC